GGGGAAUCUUGCACAAUGGGGGAAACCCUGAUGCAGCGACGCCGCGUGAACGAUGAAGCCCUUCGGGGUGUAAGGUUCUUUCGACAGGAACGAUAAUGACGGUACCUGGAGAAGAAGCUGCGGCUAACUACGUGCCAGCAGCCGCGGUAAUACGUAGGCAGCGAGCGUUGUUCGGAGUUUCUGGGCGUAAAGAGUGCGUAGGCGGCGAGCCAAGUUUGGUGUGGAAUCUCCCGGCUUAACCGGGAGGGUGCGCCGAAAACUGGUUGGCUGGAGUAUGGGAGAGGAAAGCGGAAUUCCUGGUGUAGCGGUGAAAUGCGUAGAUAUCAGGAGGAACACCUGCGGUGUAGACAGCUUUCUGGACCAAAACUGACGCUGAGGCACGAAAGCGUGGGUAGCAAACA
rnacentral:rRNA from 1 species